AGAGUUUGAUCCUGGCUCAGAACGAACGCUGGCGGCGUGCCUAACACAUGCAAGUCGAACGUGAUCCAGAGCUUGCUCUGGUGAAAGUGGCGCACGGGUGAGUAACGCGUGGAUAACCUACCCUGGUAUCUGGGAUAACAUUCCGAAAGGGGUGCUAAUACCGGAUAAGCCCACGGGCUCUUUGGAGCUUGCGGGAAAAGGUGGCCUCUAUUUAUAAGCUACUGUAUCAGGAUGGGUCCGCGUACCAUUAGCUAGUUGGCGGUGUAACGGACCACCAAGGCGACGGUGGUUAGCUGGUCUGAGAGGAUGAUCAGCCACACUGGAACUGAGACACGGUCCAGACUCCUACGGGAGGCAGCAGUGGGGAAUUUUGCGCAAUGGGGGAAACCCUGACGCAGCAACGCCGCGUGAGUGAUGAAGGCCUUUGGGUCGUAAAGCUCUGUCAGAGGGGAAGAAAUGAUAUAGUGCUAAUACCACUUUAUCUUGACGGUACCCUCAAAGGAAGCACCGGCUAACUCCGUGCCAGCAGCCGCGGUAAUAC
rnacentral:rRNA from 1 species